GGGAACAGUCCCUGAGUCAGAUGCGAUGACAAACCAAACUCAAAACAGCAGAAAGAGCCCAUAUGUAUUUACCCACGUGCAAACGCACCGGGAAUACAAACAGAACAUUUACAGCCUCGCAGCUGUUCCGCACCGAACCGACUGAUACCGAAGAGUUUCGGGGGAAGUCCACCCCCUCUGAGGACACUUUGUAGCACCGGCAGAAAUGGUUACCGGGAAGGCUGCUCCUAGCAAGAACGAGAGAACAUAACUCUCAUCCUGUUAAGUGCGCUGGCUUCACCGGUAACUGCAGAACCGCUGAACUUAAGCAGCUCCGUUUCCAUCUGACACCCCGCUGCGUGACACCCAGCUGCCAAGCUCGGAACAUUGACGUGCCGCGUUCUGUAGGAGACUACCAACUCGCUUCUCAGCGCUCCAGCACCCAAGGAAGCAGCUACCCUCGCAGGGACAACGUUCUGAGGCCGCCUGCGGACCACCUGCACGCACGCACAGCCUCGGGCAAAACACCAGGGAAGAAGGAGGUCUGAGGUGCUUUGAAGCAAGGACGUCCCCUCCCAAAGGCUGAGUCCAUGGCUUUUAGGAUGGUUAUUCAGGAGAAGGAAAAGCAGCAGGAAAAAGAGUAACUGGAUGUUGCAACUUUUUCCAUAUGUGAGAAAAAGAAAACGCCAAUAUGAAAAGCAUGAAGAAAACCAGUCCUUUUGGGACUCCGUUAUGAACUUCUAGGGACAUGUACCUUACCUGGGUGUUUCUUGGCAGUGGAGGCAUCCUGUUGUCUAUGGAGUUACAGACUAACCCUACAGUUGCCACAUGAAGCCUCCUGCAGUUUCACAGCUACAUGAUGUUGUCCACAAACAGAACUUCCACGCUUCAAGAACCUUAAAAGACCCGAGAACAAGCA